rnacentral:lncRNA from 1 species
ACGGCCCAAGGAAAAAAGUGGUCUGCUUUAUUGAAUCUUAUUUCAGCAAGGGGAAAUGGUUCGUCAGUAGAGAUGUUUCCACGGGUGCCCCAAAAAGAAAGGGAGGGAGAGAGAGAGAUCUCUCGUUAGGUCUGGGGUCUUGUCGGUCCGGAGGGAGGGGGAGGGCCCAUGUGAAAGAGAUUGGGCUCACAGAAUACUUCAGGGCUGGAGUGAAGAGCCACAAGAGCAUUCUUGUCGGAAAGAUUUUUUAGGAGGCCCGGACACCUUCCGAACAUCCCUGAAGGAUAGAACAACAUGAUGAAGAAGGCGGCGUGGAGGACUUGGCCGAAGAGGCGCGAAUCCCCUAUCUCCAUGAGUUCAAAGCCGGUGGGUGCUAUAGCAGGAGGCUGUCUGUCAUCAGGGACGUUGUUUUCAGCAUUUUCUGAAAGGUAUUAGUAGUCAAUCCUCUCUUCAUUCUUUGCUUCGCUUCCUUUCUUUCAUCUGUUUGCUUAUCUUUCCUCUUCUUUUUUAUUUUUUCUUUGCUUCCCCGUCCCCCCUAGGCUCAGUCCCCUUAUGAAUCAAAAUUUACCAGGAUAGAACGUCCCCGUUAUGUUAUCGUGUAAGUAAGGAGAAUGCUUUCUAUUCGUUAUAAGCCUAGGCUUCUCAACCAGAUCUUUUCAACCAGAGUGGGAAAGUGGAAGCCUGUUUCCAUCGAAGAGUCCGGUAUCAUGGUCUACCUUCUUACAGCAUCGAUACCGAGCUUGUGACGGGUGUAGGGUGUUAUAGCUUACCUAGAGGGUUUGGCUCCUUAAUCAUAAACUCCGUAGACUCAACAGAUAUGGCCAUACUAAACAUCAAUUUCAUGCAUACAUACAAAUGAGUAGAACUAGGGUUAAUCAAAGCAAUAACAGUGUUAUCAUAGAGAGAAAAUGUACCGAUGAUCACAUCAGGAGAAGAUGCAUCUUCACAUGCGCGUAUGGCGUAGGUUCUAGUCGGAGCUCUAACUUCUGAUCUCAACGUGGUGUCUCUUGUUACAUUCUUGUUGCUAGCCCCGCUUCCGACAUUCUUCUAAGGUCUUCCUUUAGAAUUGGUGCCACUUGGCCUUGCACCUUGAAAUUUUUCUUUCUCGUUCAUCUCAGGACAAUCCUUGAUAAAAUGGUCUUAAGAACCAUAUCAAAAACAAGAUCCAUCGUUCAUUAUACACUUGUCAAAAUGACUUCUACCACAAUACUGGCACUUUGGUCGAGAAGGCCUGACAUUACCUUCACUAGCCACUAAUGUAGCCCGAGAUUUAGAAUCCGAAUCUUGCUUCUUACAAUCUCUAUAUGAGUGUCUAGCUGACAUAUGAGAACGGAAGUAAAUGUCCCUGGAUUUCUUAGACUGAGGUGAAAAUGACUUACUUGAGUGUCUCUUCCUUACAUCUCUAGCCUCUGCCUCGGUUUUCUUCUUCUUCUUAAUCAAUUCUUCGGCCUUACAAGCCCGAUUAACAAGAACCACAAACUCCUUCAAUUCAAGGACACCCACUAAUAAUCGGAUAUCCUCAUUAAGUCCGUCUUCAAACCUUCGACACAUCUUAGCCUCGGAGGACACAUUCUUCCGAGCAUACUUACUAAGUCGGACGACUUCCCUUUCAUAUUCAGUAACAGUCAUGUGGCCUUGUUACAAGUCAAAAAAUUACUUACGCUUUUGAUCCAUGAAUCUCUCACUAAUAUAUUUCUUCCAGAAUUCCUCUUGGAAGAAUUUCGAUUUGAUCUUCUCGAGAGGUACCAUUGAAAGUAAUGUUUUCCACCAGUGGUAUGCCAAGUCCCUCAACAAUGAUAUGGCACACUUUAAGCAUUCUUCGAGAGUACAAGAUAAUUCAUCAAAAACCCUGAUGGUAUUCUCAAGCCAGAACUCUGCCCUUUCGGGAUCAUCAUCCUUAUUAACACGGAACUCCUCAGCUCCAUGCUUUCAGAUCUUGUCCACUGGGGGUCUAUUCACUCUCACAAAAUCCAUACCCUGCGAUGCUACGGGGACAGGUUGAGGGAUAGGUGGAGGUGGAGGGUGUUGAUCAUUCAGGUUCACUCGGACGAACUCCGUGUACCAUUCAUUCAUCAUGUGGAGAAAGGCUUUUCGAGCCCCUUCUCCCCUUCCCUAGCUAACCGUGGGAGGUCAAUUAUCGAAUGGCACUGCCCUUUCAGUAGGAGCCGGUGUAUUACUUUCUACAUUGUCCACCAUAGCUCGUUCGGGAUCCAUUACUAUAAGAAAACAUGAUAACAAAGUCAGGAGCCAUUACACUAUCACAAUUUAUUUAUGACAUGUAUAGCUAGACUCGUACACACGCUAGGUUAGUCUGGGAACCAACUAAACUAUAGCUCUGAUACCAUUAAAUGUAACACCCCACUCUCGAGUCCUACGCCAGGACAAGAUACGAGGCGUUACCACACUUAAACACAUUCAUUCCAACCUUUUUGAACCAUCAAGACUUGAUAAAUUUAAAAAUUUAUCUAAACUCCUUAACAUAGGCCUAUGAGGCUUUAAAUUUUUAUCGGAAACCAUUUUGGACCGACUUAGGUCUUAAACCAACUUUAGAAAAAUAACCCUUAAAACAGGGCACACGCCCGUUUGAAAAGGUAACACGCCUGUGUGGUCGUUUUGACAUGGCCGUACUGAUGGCCCGAGUGACACACAUGGCCUAAGCCUUUAAGGACAUGCCUGUGCCCCAUGCUCGUAUGAGUUAAAUGUGAAAUUUGAGCCUACAGGGAUUUUCACACAGCCUGACACACGCCUGUGUCUAUGGCCCUGUCCAUCACACGGCCAUGACACGCCCAUGUCCUAGCCUGUGUCCAAAACCUUGACAUUUUAUUUCUUACAUCAGCAUCCAAUAAGGGGCACACGGCCAAGGCACACACCCAUGGCCAUAGGCCUUGUCCUCCACACGGCUGGACACAUGGUUGUGUCUCUACCCGUGUGUUUAUAACCAUGCAUACAGAUAUGAAACUUUUAUGUGCAGGGGACACACGAUCGAACAACACGCCCAUAUGGCUAGCCUUGUGUCUACCCGUGUGGACAAUAUAAUGCUACUUACAAAGCCUUAUGCCACCCUGAAACACAAUUUAAUACCAAUCAACAUAUCAAAAUCUAACUUAAUACGGUUUAUCAACCAACAACCCUAGCUAAGACCUAUAUACAUUUCAUAAAUUCAACCAUGCCAACAAUUUCACAUUCGUAAAAGACUAUCUUGCAUUUAUAUAAUGGCUUACGAUAUUAGCUAAUUUCAUAGCCUUACACAAAAUGAGUCAAAUGCUAAAACAAGCCAACACUUUUGGCCCCAAAAUAAUGUGACACAAAAAUAAAAUCAAAAGUUCCUAUACAUGCCGUAAUCAAAACGAUAAAACUAGCUAUACCAAGUGCUUCAAGGAUAGUGUGGUUGGCUUCUCCGACAUACGCAACGAUCCUCGAACAAUUUUGGCGGCACUAUAAGAAAAUGGAAAGGAAAUAGGGUAAGCAUAGGAGCUUAGUAAGUACAUAUGUGUGAAUAAAUGUAAUUAGAAAUACAGUCAUCAGACAAUGGCUUAUCACACUUAAAUGAUAUAUAAUUUUAAUCUCACUAUCUUACUUUUCACUUAUUCUAUGCAUACUUAUUACAUCUCAUCACAUACUAAGAUCUUCAUUCGGGAGUUUAUUAUACAUGCCUGCAAUUGCCGUAAAAUAAUUCAACUUCAUUUUCUCUAUUGACAUACCUCAUUGAAAGUAUCGCCAAUCUAUUCAUCGAGUUAGCAAUCGAACACUCAGAAAUACCAAUGAAUACUCGGAUAGUUUACUCUUAAGUACCAUACAAAUAGCCAAAGCUACUUCAAACUUUGUAAUACUUGUAUAUUUGAGCUACUCACGGGCCUUCACACCAAGUCAGUACCCGAACACUAUAGCUCUAUUAUGUAAUGCCCACUCAUUGAGCUACUCACGGGUAUACACACAAAGUCAAUACCCGGACCCACAUUACAUAUUUCGCUUAUCUCAUGAACUCAGACUCAACUCAUGAGUUCAGACCACUCAAUUUCUCAUGACUUACCUUUUUGUAGUCCAUACUAUUUCUGAGGUUUAACGGGAUCUCUUAUCUAAUCUGACGUUGUCACACUUAUUGACAAUGGAAGUUACUCUUAUAAAACAUUAGUUAUACUAUCAUGGUAUCAAGUCAAAUUAUGAUACAUAGUAAAAAUAAAACAUUUAAAGUAAGCUACAAUGACACGUUAUUUACAUAUGUACUUACCUCGGUACAAAAUGAUGGGAACGAGCUUAAUCCUCGUAAACUUUGUUCUUACCCCGAUCAAGACCCGAACCACUCUUCUCUUGAUCUAUAUUGAUAAAAUUCAUUCAUUUCAUCAGCAUAUAAAUCUAGAUACUCAAAAAUUUAUAAUUAGGAAAAAUGACCAUUUUGCCCCUAGACUUUCACAAAAUUACCAUUUUACCCCUAGGCUCAAAAUUCAUGUGUAAUCACAUUUUCUCACUAAUAAAGCCUAGCCAAAUACUUUUUAUACUACAAGCAGUCCACAAUUUUCAUUAUUUCAUACAUUUAUCACCUAUUUUACAACUUAUGCAAAAUGGUCUUUUGUUAGGGUUUCCAUGAAAACAUCCUCGCAAAAGUUGUUUAUUACCUAUCCAAGACUCAUUUUCUUCCAUACAAAUUCAGAAAAAACCUAAAUGCUCUCAUGGAUAAACCCUAAACUUUCAACCAUUGUGCAAAAUAGUCAUCCCAUUAGAAAGCUUAUGCUACAAGGGUCUCAAAAGUACAAAAAUAUUUAAAAAAAGUCAUCAACAUCACUUACUUGCAAAGGUUUAAAGUUGUUGAAAUUUUGAAGCUAAAAAACUCCUCUAAUGGCUAAAAAUUUUGGUGGUAGGAGAAGAGAAUGAAAAGAUGAAGUCAUUUUGUUUUAUUUUAUUCAAUUAAGUCACCAAACCACCUAGAUUUUUGACUUUUUGACCAACUUGUCCCCUAUGGCCGGCCACCCUUCUAAAAUUGGCAUAAUUUUCCUUUAAAAACCUCCACAUUAUGAUUCAUGACAAAUUAACACCCUUAGCUAUCAAAAUGGGACUUUUUCACUUUAUGUGAUUUAGUCAUUUUUCACAAUUAAGCAUGCAAUUGCUAAAAUAAAUUCACCAAAAUUUUCAUGCACUCAUAUGAUCAUGCUAUAACACAUAAAAUAAUAUCAAUAAUAUUUUCUCCAACUUCGGGUAAGUGGUUCCGAAACCACUAUUCCAACUAGGCCUAAAAUCAGGAUGCUACAUUCGAGCUAUGGUUAGUCCGCAACACAUGCAGGAUCUUAACCAAUACGGUAACCCUAGUGACAUGUCACUCGUAUCUAACAAAUUCCUAUGGUUCAAACGGGGCUUGGUAAUUAUCCAAAUUCAUCAUUUAAGCGUUCAAUUAUCAAUAAUUCAAUUUCUUAAAUCAUAUACAUAUUUAAUUCAAUUAAAUACAUACAUUUAAAUUGUAACGCCCUGAAUUUUAGGCCUAGAAGUUCUGGGUUAUGAGUGCAGUGACAAUGAGAAGGUUGCACACAUGAGUUGAGUUGUGUUUUUUAGUGUCAGAAUGGGCCAGCUAGUCCAGUGGUUGAGUGAGUGUUAGUGUACUUUGAGGUUCCGGGUUCGAGUCUUACGAAUGCUCUUUGGGUAAAUUUUUUCUUCUUCUUCUUCUUUUUAAGUUUUUAUUCUGCUACUUAUUUUUAUUUCAUUUUAUUUUAUUGUAAAUUAUUUUAUGAUUUUAUUAUCUCUAUUUUUAUUUUUGGUCUCUUUUUGGACGUUCUUCCUGCUUUUCUUUUUGGGGGUUUUCACUGGCUUUUCUUUUGGGAUUGUUGUGAUUACUUAGAAAUGUUUUGUUUACGGCCGCUAGAAUUACAGUCCUCUGUCAUCAUCUCCGUUCGCAUAACAAGUGUGGGAUUUGAAACCUUGUCUUUUCAUUAUCAUUUUUUACAAAAUUUUUGUUUUGACAUAUUUUGUUUAUGUGUUAACCUGAAGGUUUUGGGUUCUAGACACUGGAAGUGAGGAGAAACCACCACUUUUUGAUAUAUUUUUUAUAGGGCAAAGCUUAGGUAAGGUUUCGGCGGCUUAAAUGGUGGUUUCAGGUUAUUUUAAGGGUGGUGUUGUGACCUCUCCGAUGACCACAUGGGUGUGUACCGAUACACACGGCUGUGUGGAUUUGGGUACUAGGGUUCUAGGCCAAAUUGGGUGCCACAUGGCCUGGCCACACGAUCAUAUGCCCGAUUUGGGUAUUUUGUCAGAAUUUACACAGUCGUGUCCCUUGGGCACACGAGCGCGUGGGUUUGGGAAUUAGGGUUUCAGAAAUUUAGAGUCACACAACCUGGCCACACGGCCGUGUGGCUGAUUUGGAGAUUUACAUGGGCGUGUAUUUUGAAACACACGGUCUUGUCUGGUGGGCACAAAGGCGUGUGAGACCCUCACAUGGCUGUGUCUGCCCUGCACCUUAUUUUAGCGAUUUUGGACAGUGAGUUACACGGCCUGUUCACACGGGCAUGUGCCUCCGUCACACAACUAUGUGCUACCAUUCAGCAUGGGCGUUUAGACCCCCACACGGCCUGGAUUGCUCUAAAUGGUUGGAGCACACGGGCGUGUGGCCCUAUCUCGCCAAAUAAUGCUUUUAGGUCGAACUUAAGUGUAAUCGCAACUCUAUGUGCCCCAACCCUCAGCUAAGCUUUACUGAGGGUAAUUAUGACUUUGAUCUGGGCUUGAUAUGUGUGUUAUUUGUGUUUGGUUGUGUGAUAAGCUUGAUACUGAACUCGAGUUAUAAGUGUGCACAUGCAUGAUUCUGUAACUGACUCAUUGGAUGUGAAUGUUUGCUUCUGACUAAUUACUUGAGAUUGGUAUUCUGAUUGUGUACAUCUGACUGCAUACAUACAUAUGCAUAAACUAUUUUGGGUGGGAUUUUGAAGAGAAGGAAGAUUGACUGAACUGGCAGUUGAUCUGCUGGUUACUAAUAAUCCCAAUGCCCUGAGGGUCGUGGACUUUACUAAUAUCGGCAUAGCGGAUGGCCAUAUUGCAUUAUACCGCAUGUACGUUAGCUACGCUACGUAUCUUUGACUGAACUGGCAAUUUACUACAACCUAUCGAUAUAACGGAUUACCGCAUUGCACUGUACCAUAUGUACGUUAGCUACGCUACGUACCUUUGACUGAACUGGCAGUUUUACUGUAACCUAUCAGUAUAGCGGAUUACCGCAUUGCACUGUACCGCAUUUACGUUAGCUACGCUAUGUACUUUUAACUGAACUGGUAGUUUUAUUGCAACCUAUCAGUAUAGCGGAUUACCGCAUUGCACUGUACCACAUGUACGUUAGCUACGCUAUGUACCACUAUCUGAUCAGGCAAUUUAUACUGCAUGUCUGUACCUCGGUUAACCGCAUUGCACAGUACAGCUUAUACGCUAGCUUUGCUGCAUAAUAUACAUGACUGGCAGUCUAUUGCAUAUUAUUAGUCCCAAUACCCAGAUUAUCAUGGACAAUCCUGACAACCAUCGUUGCGGGCAACCCGAGAUGACAUCAGUUGGAGUGCAGGGUCGGAUGGGCUUUAUGAGGUCCUGAGUGGAGUGAUUGGUGGGACGAGCUCAAAGCUUUUGUGAGGAGUGAUGGGGGACGGAGAGGUGUGUUUGCUGGAUGGGUGGGUUUUUCGUAACUCAAUUGCAUUCAUAUGAAUCAUAUUGACUGUUCGACUGAAAUGUCUAAUUAACUGUUCGAUUGAAAGGCACUUGUGCCUAUGAGAAUUGUGUAGACUUUGACUGCAACUGUCUAACUAGAUAGCCACUAUGACUUUUUGAGGAUUACUGCUGCUGUGCCUGAAUGGUACGUGAGAUUGUGUGUGUCUGAUUGACCUAUAUCUCUAUAAAAUACAUAUGGUGUGUGUUUGAUUUUGAGCGAUUCACUUAACUGUCAUCUGUCUGUUAGUAUGUUCUGCUUCCGAACUGCUUCUAGUUCACUAUUUCUAUUUCUAUAGUUUAAUUGGUUUGUUCUCACACUGAACUCGAGCAGCUCACCCCCUUUUUUGUUUCCUCUUUCAGGUACAGUUCUGGAUUCUGUUGAUGGGCUCAGUACGCAGAGGUUUCAAACAAUCUUGGAGGAUUGAACUAUAAGUUUAAUUGCUAUUUGGUUUUAGUUUGAACUGUAAAAGCUUUAUAAGACUGUGGUAAAAUUUUUUUCAUAUGCUAUAUUCGUAUAUUUUAGACUGGUAUAUUUUCGGACAGAAUUUUUAAAAACGAUUAUCAGCUUUUGGUUUGCUAGGAAAUAAAUGUUCUUAAGUAAUUGAGUUUAUUUUUGUAAAAUUUUCUCAUGAUCACUUUGGUGAUCAAUGUAGCAUCCCGGAUUCGGUCUAGACUUCUAGGUCGGGUUUGGGGUGUUACAUAAAUACUCAAUUCGCAUACCUAAUGCAUAUUAUCAUACCGAAUCUAUGUAACAUAUAUAACAAUUGUUGCAGUUCACUUUCAUUCAUGUAAACAGUAAUUUAAUCAUAUAAUCAGUAAUUUGAAUUUCAAUUGGGUUAUUCAUUCAACUUAUACACAUUCAUUUUAAACAAUUACAAGUAUUAAUAGUUCGAUUCUAGCUAUACGAACUUACCUCGAGUUGCUCAGAUGGAAUUUUUCGAUUAUUCGCCCAUUUUUUUCCUUUUUUCCUCGAUCUAAGCUAGAUCUUGCCUUAUCUUGAUCUAAAUAAUAUAUCAAAUUCAGAAAAUUAACUUCCUUUCUAUUCAAUUUGACACUUUAUACACAUUUUGGUAAAAUUACACUUUUGCCCCUAAUGAUUCAGAUUUUUACAAUUUAGUCAUUAUCUCAUAAAAUUGCAAAUUCAUGAAAUUUAAGGACAACCCAUGCUAUCCAAAUUUUGUAUAGCUUCAUAACAGCCCAUAUUUUCAUUUUAUUCAAACAUUUAACCAUAAAAUUUUACAAUUUCACAAAUUAAUCCCUAAUUGAUAAUUUUGUCAAAAAUCACUUGACAAAACUUGUAUAUCUAUCAUUUAACCUUCAUAAAAAUCAUUAAAAGUCGAUAUCAAAAUCAUACCUAAUCAUGCAACCAAAGUAUUUGAACUUCAAAAUGCUUCCAUGAUAUACUUUUUCUUUCAAUUUCGAUGAAAGAGAUGAGAAAAUAAGCUUAAAAUUAUUUUUGUUUUAUUUUAUUGACCUUAUUUACCAAUUUACUAAAUUAACCUUUAAAAAUAUUAAAAAAUACACCAUUUGCCAUGCUAUCAUCAUCCACUAACCACAGUUGGCCUAUUUAUCACUUAAGGACCUUUUCUUUAAUAUUCUAUAGCUAUUUGACACUUUUAGCUAGUAGAACACAGGUUUUACACGUUACGCGAUUUGGUCAUUUUUACCUAAUUAACCACUCAAACGGUAAAAUUUCUUUAUGAAAUUAUUAUACUAUCAUUCUAUCAUGAUUUAAGAAUUAUUAAAAGAAUAAAAUAAAUAUUUUGACUUGAGAUUUAUGGUCUCGAAACCACUGUUCCUAUUUGACUCAAAAACGGGCUGUUACAGAGUGACAUACUAGAUGUAUACAAUUUGAUCGUGAUAUAACCUUCCUAAUUUCUUUCAGUACAUCCCUGCUCCAAACGUGGCCGCCCUACAUCUAUCCAACAUAUUUCUCCUCUCACUUUGGGAAAUGUUCAGCGAAACAAAAAUAUAUUCUUAGACAAUCGAGGUUAUCAGCAAAUGAUGUGUACCCUUCAAUACGGAAUUGAUGCAUUCUGCCAGGUUUUUCGUCAUAUGCCGAUAUCGUAGACACCCAUCAUACGAUUGUGUCCACUGAUGGAAUGGUAUGUUGGAGAGGUACCCCGCCUAGACACUGUUAAUUACUUAUAAGUUUUCCAAUAUUUCUUAGAAAUGGUAUUUGACAAGCUCAUACCCUAUCGAGAAAAGAGAAUAGUUAAUCCAUAAUGCCUAACAUCUACUGACUGAUUAAAUAUCAAACAAUUAAAAUCAUGGCGAAUACAUACCCAUGUUGAUCACUUGCGUGCAUUGAGCUGCAAAAUUAUGUUGUCCAUGGUAGCUUUCCAUAACAUGUCUUAGACAAUACUUAUGGUGUGUGGUCCUAAAGGCUUCCUUGUCGUUCAAUUGUGGCCAGUAUUCUAGGUCCCUUGUUGAAGAUGAAGCAUAUAUCAGGUUGCGAGAAAACAUGUCUCCUUAACUUAGAUAGGAAGAAAUCUCAAUCGUCUGUUGACUAUUCUAGCGUUAUUGCAAAGGCAAUCGGUAGGAUUUUCUGAUUGUCGUCUUGUGACACAGACAACUGGAAACUAAUGGGUAUAUCUCUCAUACAUAAAGGUAUCGUCAGUUUUUAGCAGUGGCUUACAAUACUAGAAUGCUUGUUGACAUUGCUUGAAAGCCCAUAAGAAAUGAUGGAACACUUAACAUUCAUGGAGCAACUGGUAGUUGUAAUAAGCAGGCAUUUCCAGAUCGGUUAUGCAGCCUAAAACAUACCUCUCCAGUUCCUGAUACCAUUACAAUGAAUCAUUGUAUAACGUGUCCCACCCAUUAUACAUAUUCUCCAAUGCCUUCUUCUUUGCAAUCCACACCUUGCAGUAUGACGAUGUUUAAUCAAACUGGCUACGAAUAUUUACAAUUAAAAUCAACACAACAACCCUAGGACUUGCUUAGACCAUAAGCAGUAUUAUGACUGCGAUCAUCUCUGAAUCUAUAUUUGGAUGAUCUUGUGAAAUACCUGUAACAACAUGAGUACGUUAAAAUUAACAAUUCAACUCUCCAAAUACAAAACAGUCUUGAUGUAGUACCCAUGAAAACAUACGUUUAUGAAGCGAUAUAUUUCUUUAUAGUCUAUAACCUCGUCUUAUUUUUAAUAGAAUUUAUGAUUUUCCAUGCAUAUUUGUUGUCUCACAUUGCACACUUUGCCUCAAACUUGUCAAAUUGGGAUUUAACAACGUGGAAGAUUACCAGUUCUUGAUGUUGUAUCACUUAAAAUUGAAACAACAAAACCAUCUUUAGAGGAAAACUCCUUCCCCACCUUUAAAUCACCCAAAUCCAACAAGAACUCGCAUGGCCCAGUCUUUUGUAUGGUAGUUUUGCAAACUCCACCCCAUCAUCUACUAAUAGGGCCACAUUAUGCAUGUGGGCUGGAGGUGAGUACACCCGAAAUUGUGGAUCUUCUUUAACAUCUUCGUCUGGACCUUCAUUGUCUAAACCUCCAUCUUCUAGUUAAGUUGGAACUGGCUCUGGUUCAGAAAAUAAUGCAAUUUCUAAAUCAUCAGCACUGGGCUCUUAAAUUGGAUUGACAACUAAUUUAGUGCCCUCUUCAUUCUCAACCCCACCAAUAUCUCCAGGGUUGGAUGUCUUUUCACCGGUGGACAUCAUAAGAAGUACAUCAUACAUUCUUGUAUAAUUGUCGAAACAAGCAAAGCACUAGUUGAUUUUCAACUGUUGAAACUUGAUGUCUUUCCCCUGAAAGUGUUCCUAACAUUGAACAUCAACUAACCGAAGUUCAAAUAAAAACCACUAAUUGAGUGUUUUGCAAGGUCCAAUAUUCCAUGUUACCACCAAACUCUUAUUGUUCGGUGUUCUACAUGUCACGGUUGAAAUCUAGGGCCAAAAUAGUUGAGUGUCCUCUCAUUGAUGAUUCCUGGAUAUCAUAAUGGGAACUUUCUGACAAAGUGGUGAACCCACCACACAACUAUGUUGUUGGACUCUCAGCUUCUUUUUCCCUUCUAGCCUCUCGAACUGGAACAUAAGUCGACAUCCAAGGGCCUUCAUCUACCCUUUGCAAAUAUUGCAUAUAACUCUAGAAAUGGUGAUCGACUAUCAAUAUGCGUUUGCACCAUAGCCUCCAAUCCCCUCUCACCUCUUAUAUCAAAAAUGUCAUAUCUAACAAGGUCAGCCGAAGCACAAAAUCGAUAUUUAAGUGGUGAUACUCUCCUCUGGUUGGAUCUGAUAAUUUUUCACCUAAUUCUUCCAUGUAGUUAUGGCAACUAUAUGUUCUGGUUAAAAGCCAACCUCGUUGUGUUCUUUGAUUAAAAAAAAUCCUGUUCUCGGUGUCACACACUUCACCAUCAUAAUAAAUAAUAACAUUAAUUAUCUACUCAUUGUCAACGAAAUAACCUAUUCCACAUGUUCGAAACAAAAACAUUAUGCAUAAAAAUAGUGUUGUAAUUAAAUAUGAACAAUAAGAAUCGAUCUUUACUUUAUGCAAAUUGCAUAGUAGCUCCAAAUUAUGACUUAUGUUCGAACUUCUCUUCUUCUGAUCUUCUUACAACUUUCUUUGCUCGUAAAUGCCUUAUGCCACUCAAUGCUGAAAUAGAUUACUUUUGUAGACCCGGAGAUGAGUGCCAAUGGAUUCAAAGUGACCAAAAUCAUAUAUUUGCACGUACAUUUAUAAGCCAAAAAAUAAAGCAUAUAGACAAGUACUUUCAAACCACAUCACAUUGGCAAAAUAGCAUAAAAUCUCUUAUUACAUGCCAUUUAUAACUAUCAACAAAAUAACCUAAAAACUACCAAAUUGAUCAAUGGAUAGUGUGUAUGUGUUCCGGUGAGGCUCCAACCGAUCGAGCUUUCUAAUGAGCUACAAGACAAAGAAACAACUACAUAAGCAACUAGUGCUUAGUAAGCUUGUAUAAUCUUAAAUGUAAACUUAUUGUAAUAACUCAUUUUUCAGCGGUGUCAAAAAUAGUGGUUUCAGUGCCACUAUUCCGAUGUGAGAGUCCAUAGAUAUAUUUAAUUAAUAAUUAUGAUUUAAAUCUAGUAUACUAGUGAAUAGUGAUUUUAUAGAUUUUAUUAAAUGGUUUGUUAGUCAAGGGUAAAAGUGGUUUGUAUCAGAAGUCCGUGGUUUUGGAGAAUGAGUUAUCGAGACCUUGUUUCCAUAAAUCAAGCCCAUAAAUAUUUUUAUUAAAUAUUUAUGGGGUUUUAUAUAGGUGUAAUAAAUUUUAGUCUGGAAAGUUUAGUGAUUAAAUGACUAAUUAAGGAAAAAGGACUAAACUGUACAAGCUACAAAAGUUAAUCUCUAUUAGUUUAUUUGUGCUAAAUGAUUAUGAAAUCAUAAUUAGAUGGUUUUAAAAGGCAAUUAGACCAUAAUAUAGUUGGGUGGACAGUUAAUGCAUGAUUAUGGUUUUAAUGUUUUUUUGAAAAUGACAAAUAAAAUAAUGAAAAUAAUAGUAAUUAAAAAGGAAUUGAGGUGGAAAGAAAGAAAGGGAAAUGGUUACCAUCUUUAUCUUUCCACCAUUCAACAGCCAUAGAUUUAGGAAAGCUUCAAACUUCUCAAGCAAUCGUUUUAUGCAUGUGAGUGAAUCUAAAGCCAUUUUUUUCGUAAUUUUUAUGUUUUUGAGAUCGUUGUAGCUUAAUCUAACUAACCUAGGGACUAAGUUGUAAAUCAAAUAAAGAUUUUGGAACUUGACAUUGGUGAAUUCUAGGCGUUCUUGUGAUUAAAUAAUAAAAUUGAAAUUUUGGUUGUUGAUUAAGGCUAUCUUGUAAAGUGAUUUUAGUUAGCUUUUAGUUAAAGGACUAAAUUGAUAAAAUGUUAAAUUUAACAUGAAAUUCUUAUGAAUUUUGAAUAAUUAUGGGCUGUAUAGGGAUUAUGGGAAAUUCGGUCAGCAUGAAUUGAGUUUAAUUAUUUUAAAUUUGAAGUUUUGUGUUUAGGGACUAAAUUGAAUAAAAGGUGAACGUUUAGGGUAAAAGUAUAAAAUUUUGAUAAAAGGUAAAUUACAUGAAUUUUAGUAUUUUAAAUUAUUUGAAUUGGAUAAUUGAAUUAAAUUAUUAUAUAUAGAUCAAGAAAUGGAUCAAUCGAUAGACAAACGCGGAAAAGGAAAAAUUGUUGAUUUACCCCUAACAUUACAAUCUUUAUUGUUUAUCCCUGGUAAGUUCAUAUGGUUUAAAUUAGAAUAAUUCAUAAUAUUAUAUUGAUUUCUGAGUUGUGGUAUGUUAAUAAAUAUAUAGAUGUAAUGUAAUUGUUAUAAAUUGGUACACGGUGAGAAAAAUGAAAUGAAUUGAAAAAUGUUAUACGAUUACCUAUAUUGAGCUCGAAUGUACAUAGGAUAGGAUAAUUUUGACAUGCCAACAGGUUAUAUUGCAUGCAGUACGAGGUUGACUUGUGAUGAGGUGAUGAUUAUUGACUUGUUACUAUACACUGAAUGUAGCGAAGUCCAACAUUUAUUGCGGAAUAUCAUGUUAUAUUUACAGUGAUUCUAGUGCGUGAUUGGGGGCGGAUGUAGAGCCUUUGGGCUUGGCACUUAGUGUCGAGGUGUGUUUCAGACGGAUAUUAGCCUGCGGGCUUUGCACUUGGUGCCCAAGUGUGUUUUCGGAUGGAUAGCUUAUUUGGGCGUUCUAGUUUGUUCUGGAUGGAUAACCGUGUAUCCGUAUCUAUUAUGUCGUUCAUCGAGCCAAAUUUUUAAUGGUUAAAUGAUUAAAUGAUGAUAGGUAACUGAUAUUUGGUUAUAAUUUCUUGUGAAAGACUCAUACAUAUGUUUAUAGUUUCUGAUAUUUUAUCGCGACUUGUUAAAGGUUGAUAUUGUAUCACUGAGGUGAUUAAAUGACUUGUAUUUAUGAAACUUACAUGUUGAAUGGCUGUGAUUGACAGGGUUAAUGUUAGCUAUUGAUUUUGUUAAUUAUAAAAUUGUGGUUAUACGAUAAGUUAUAACAUUUCAACUUGUGAACUUAUUAAGCUCAUAAAAGCUUACUCGUGUUGUUUUCCUGAUUUCUUGUAGAUCUUGUUUUGCAGAAUCGGGCAAUCGGAUCAAGUGGGAGAUCACACUAUCCGACUAUCUUCGGUAGUCUUUAAAAAUGUUUACUUUGGGAUAUGUGACAUGUAAUAAGAGUAUCUUGUAAUUGUGUAUAAGUGUUCAUAAUAAGUGGCAUAUUUUAUACUUGUUUAUCAGUUGAUUAUUUGUGGCGAAUAAUGUGGUUGAUCAUAGCUUGAUUUAGAGAUUUGAAUGUGAUAUUGAAAUUGAUAUAUGGUGGAUUUAACUUGAUGACAUGAAAUGUGAUAAGUAUGUUUUGUAUAUGUUUUGGAUACUUACUUCAUGCGUUACAUCUUAGGUUGGUGUAAAGUUGUUUAAGCUUGGUAUUAGUUUGCUUGUGUAUGUGUCUUUGGUUUUGGCAUGUAUAUGUUCAUGUAAGUAUGUUUUUGGCCAUUUGGUAUAAACCUCAUGAAAGUGUUUGAAAGAUGGUAAGAUGGAAUCUGAAUGAGUUGCAUGAGAUGGUAAGUUUGGCAUGUGUUGAAUGUAAGAACUUGUGAACUUUGAAGGCAAAGUAAUUUGGUAUGAAAUUUGAAUUUGGUUGAUAAUUGAAUUAUGGUGUCGAUGAGAACACAUUGGUUAGGCACUUAGUUUGAAUGUUUUAGCAUGUUUUAGACUUGUUUAAAUGUGUUUUUGAAGUAUGGAAAUGGUUGAUUUUGAUUUUACUUGGUCUCUAAGUUUUGGAUGAAAGUUUGCCUUGUUUUGGAAGCCUCUUAAGGUGCACAUAGCCUGGGGCACGAGUUGCCACAAGACCGUGUGCCUUAUUAAUUUUAAGUGCAGGAUUUUCCACACAGUCACAGAUAGUUACACAGUUUGAGAAAAUGGGAAUUUGGAGUAGCCACAUGGGGGUGCGGGGUAGCCACAUGGCCAUGUCCUUGAGUCACAUGGUCUAGGCUCUGUCACACGGCCAUGUGACCCCUAUUUUCAAAAGUUUUAAAAUUUUUCAUGUUUUUCUGUAUUGAUUCAAAUUAGACCCUGAUUGUUUCCAAACUAUUUUUAGGGCCCCGUAAGCUCGUUUUAAGGCCCCGUAAAUGUUAUUUUUCUAUGAAUGAAAUAUAGAUUCGAAUAUUGUUGUUUAAAUUAAUAAAUAAAUUGUUUAAUGAUUUAAAUUGUUUUGAUAUGUGCAGUGAUACUCUGUAACCCUAAUCCAUCAUCAGAGACGGGUUAGGGGUGUUACACUUACCUUUUAAAAUCAAUUUAUAUAAAUUUGAUGUAUAAUCUCAUUAUCAUAUUCAUGAAUUUAUGAAAUCCUAUACACACAAGUCCCACAAGUUAAUGAGCUCCACAAGAAAAAGACAUAAUCUUAUCAUGUCAUAAAACACAUAAUAGUAACAUAUCAAAUAUACCUUUCAUUCACCAUAAUACCAAUUUGCAUAACUCAUCCAAAUCAAAGCAUUAUACUAACAUCUUCCAUUUCAACUUUCAAGAUCACAUAACAAUUCAUAUAAUUAAGCUUACUCUUUUAUGUCUUUAUUACCUGUUGAACCAAAUGAAACAACGUCGAAUAUACGAGAACCAUGCUCACACAAAGUGUGUCUGUAUCUAUAAUUGUAUCCAUAUUUGUAAUACUCACACGAGCUGUGAAGCGGGUUUGCUCACACGAGCUGUGGGUUGGGAUGUUAAGCAACAUGAUGCUGCUUACACUAGCGGUGGAGUAUCCAUAAUAAAUGAAGGACCUUAGCCAUCAGUAGGACAUCUAAGACCAAUACCCAAAACCGUAUAACCGUUAAUGAUAUGUCAUUUGUAUCCUAGGUAUUCACAAGGUUCCAAUGAGACACAUUACAUAUCCUUUAAUUCCUUUUUCGAUAUAACAUUUCAUAUACAUAUUCAUGAAAUUUACAUUUUCCACAAUUCGUCAAUUGAUCACCAUAACCAUUUAAUCUCAUUAAGCAUAUAACACAUAGUAAUCCUUUAAGAUAUAACUAACAUAAUUAUUCAUUAACAUUUUAAACAAAUCUACAAGUAAUGAAUUAUCCAUUAUAUGAACUUACAUCGACUAAAACGGUUGCAAAAAUAGAGCCAACGAUUAGUCCGAUACUUUAGUUUUUCCUCGAUUUAAAUUCGAUUGAUUCAUUUCUUGAUCUAGAUAAUAAUUUUCAUUCAACUGAUACAAUUCCAGCCUUUAAAUAAGCAGUUUUAUACAAUUAAGUCCUUCCAUCAUCAUUUUACAAAAUUACCCCAACAUUUUAACCUUUAUGCAAUUUAGUUCCUAAACCUAAAACUUACAAAUUAACCACAAUUAAACAAAGUCCACGCUAACCGAGUUUCAUGGGGUUCAUGAAAAGGCUAUAUUCAUCAAAUUUUCAAAUUAACUCCAAUGAAUUUUACUCUUUUAAGAAAUUAAUCAUUUAACAUUAAAUUACUAAAAACUACAAUACAAAAUAAGCUUAUUUAUCAACCAAGCUUAAUAUUCUAUCAAUUAAGUUCACAAACACACUUAAACCAUUCAUGGAAAAUCCUAAAAGUUUUAAAAGUUUUACGAAUUGACCCCCCGGGUUGCUAGAUUAAGCUAAAGCAUUCAAAAAAAUAUAAAAUUCAUUAAAAACGGGUCAAAAUUACUUACCAUGCAUGAACAAGUGUUGACCAAAGCUAUCUAGUUUCUCUAAUAGAGGAUUCAACUAUGGUAAAUUAAAGGAAGAAGAAGAUGACAAUAGAUUUUGUCAUCUUUCGUUUUAAAUUUCCAAAUUAAUUACAAAAUUUCACCAAAUGCCAAGCCACAACUGUCCACUAUCUAAUGGUAUGGGAUAUUUACCAUUUAAGUCCACUUGUUUAUCUUUCUCUAGCCAUUUGACAACUAUAACUAAUAAAAAACUUGCUUUUGCAACUUUUACGAUUUAGACCUUUUCACUUAAUUAACUAUUUAAAUGUUAAAAUUUCUUAACCAAAUUUUAGUAUGACUCUAAUAAAUGCUCAUACACGUUAAAUAAAUAAUAAAAUACUGAUUCUCUUAUCAGAAUCAUGAUCCCAAAACCAUUGAAAAUGAGUUGUUUCAGUUUAUUUGCAUCAACCACAUGUAUGUAGAUAUGCAUAUGUAUAUAUAUAUUUAUGUAUUGAACUCAAAUCAUAAAAGUACAAACAAAAUUUGUCACUCGUUUACGACUCUUGUGUUUGCCUUCUCUUGUGAUUGCCCAAUAUCAAUUUUAGCUGCGUUUGAUAAUUCAAUAAUAGAAACAAUAUCAGUUUACAUCCAAUUCACGUUCAAAUACAUAGCCAAACAUAUUUUUCAUUUUAUUCAAUUUAUUUCCUAUAUCCGAGAUCUCAUAUUUUCCAUAUCUAACAUCGGAUCAAAAUCUGAUUUCACAUUCUUUCAUUAGGAACCUUAUACUUUCUAUCUAUAGCAUAAUUUUAUGAUUGUUUUCAGUUUAUUCUAUUUAGUCCCUAAUGUUACCAAGUUAUUUAACAAGUUUAACUUACUUUGUAAUUUAGCCCUUAUCAAAAUCUAAGCCUACUAACUACCAAUUUCUUUAAUUCAAGCGCAAAAUCAUCAACUUCUUUUUGUGGCAACUUGUUAAACAUCAAAUAAUUGAAGAAAUUAACAUAUCGGUUAGCUAAAUCUAGCUCUCAUGAUUCAAAUCCAUAAAUUUUUAAAUAAAAAUGCUUAAUUACGUGGGUAAGUGGACCAAAUUGGAAAAGAGAAAAACGUUCUAGUUUCUUCAACCAUGGAUGACAAUGCUUGAGUAGAAAUAUGUUCUUUAUCUUGUUCUACUAAAAAUUGUUUAUAUAUAAUCAACUAAGGUGUCAUUAAUUUUAACUAACUUAGUUUAUUAUUUAUUAAUAUUAUUUACUUAAUCAAUUAACAUUAUUAAUCAUAUGCCAAUGGAUUACCAUCAACAUCCACUAACUCAUAUUUAAAAAUUAGUUAAAUAAUCAUUUUAGUCAUUUGGAUGAUUGCUAUCUAGUUCCCUAAGCAUUUUCUCAAUUAAACUCAAUUGCAAGAUAAACUCAAGUUUAUCACUAUUUUCAGCUAAAUGACUUUCUUUGCUAUUCUCGAACCACGAAUUUUGUCCAGUAUGGACUUGAGCAACAUGAACCAAGUCACAGAAUAAAAAUGAUAUAUUUACUUUCAGUGGGGACAUAAAUUUUCUCUAUAAACUGGUAAUUGUUCGUAAUUUUCAGAAAAUAAAAUUUAUUCUUUGUAAGUAAAUUACCACUAAUUUCUACAAGAAUAAUGAUGUAUGAAAUGUGUGUAAAUAGCUCUACCAGUGCUCUCUCUAUAUAGAGAAAACUACAAGAGUUCUGGUUGACUAAAUCUUGAAUAAAUAAUAUUAUUUUAAUAAAAAAAGGCUCCUACUCUAGUAGUAAAAGAGAGGGGCGGCGGCACACCCUUAUAUUUACUAGGGUUUUUCGACCCUUGUCAUACACAAGGUCAUAUUGGGCCUUUCAUAUAUUUGGUCCAAUUGUAUGUGCUUCCUAGACUUUUAGCCCAACACUUUAUAAUUUAUUCAACUCAAUAUUUAUUUCUAUUACCCAAAACAUUAUUUAAUCAAUUAAUUAAAUUAACUAUAUUAAUUUAUCAAUUAAAUAUUUUUCUCAACCCAAUUCUAAUUUCAUUAAAGUCAUAAAAACUUUAUCGUAAUAGAAUCUAUGAGGAAAUAUAUUUAAUUUUCUUAUUCAAUCAAAUCUAUAAUGACUAAUUAAUUUAAUUCCAUCUUCGAGUUUAAAUUAUUUAAUUAUAAUUAAUUAAAUAAUAAUCCGAAGAAACUUAAAUAUAUGCAAUCUAUUUUUCUUACUUCAUUGAUUCCAUUCAUUUCUAUUUAUUGGUUUUAGAUGCAGUUCGCUUAUGGUUAUCUCGAGCUAACGGAGGGGCCAAUUUGACAUGUAUAAUUAGGUCUCAAAGAAUUUAUAAUUAAGUUUAGGUUUUUGCCUAUUAGUUAUGACACUAUUUAAUCACGAAGCCAUUCUACUAAAGUAUCAUGACCGUGCUCUUCCUUAUUAUAUACCAUUAUGAAAGUUACUUAAUAAAAUCUCAUCCAAUAACUUUGUCAUAAGUGUGCUACCCUCAUAGGAUAUCCUUGAUCUCUUUGGAUAAAUUUGUUCACCUAAUAUGGUUCUAUUUUAUCUCAUAAUAACCAAUAUAUCUUCCUUUAUGAACAGUCAAUUACUAUGAAAUACUAAUUAAAUUAUUUAUCACAAAGACAAAUGAAAUAGUAAUAAAGACAAAUGAAAUAGUAAUUAAAUAUUCUUUCAUGUAAUGCCAAUGAUAGAAUAUCAUUUACCCCUUCAUUGGGCUAUGAAUUCCAUUGUUGUGAAAUAAUGCUACACAUUGCAAAAGUCAUAUAUCUAGCAUGCCAACUUUUCAUUCCUUAUUUAUUUUAACAAAAUCUUUUAUUUACAUCAAAGUAAAUGAGUCACGUAUACAUAAUUUAUCAUCCAUUCAAGAUUAAUGUAUAUCACACUAUGAACAAAAUAAGUUAAAAAAUCCACAAACAGAUCAAGGAUUGAUUCUAUUUGGGUCUUGUUUGAUGUACUAUCAGUCUAGUCAAUCUCAUCUAUGUCGUUAUCUUCCUGGAGUCAUUUGCUCUGAUACCCAAUACAAGGAAUCUUCUCAAUUGGACUUGAUAGAUGACAUAUUAUUCUUACAAUCAAUUUGCUUGUUUUUUAUUAGACUAAGGACAUGUUCAGAUUAUCUACUAAUAUAAGUUGUCUUUUCGUAUUAUGAUCCGACCACGUAAUAUCGCUUAGUAUUAGUUAAACUUUAGUUAAUUAGUGAGUUAAUAUUUGUUUUAAUUUUGCUUUGCAUGUAAAAAUCGUUAAAGAUAAUAUAAAAAGAAUAUUAAUAUAACUAAUGAACAUUUUAUUACACCAAUUGUUCGAAAAAUACAAGUAUAUAUUGAAGAAAAUAAUAUACUAAGGGAACUAGAUCCAAUAGUUAAACAAGUUAAAUUCUAAAAGCUUUUUUCUAGGAUUGUUCAAUUGGCAACUGUUUGUUGUUGAGCUAUUCUCAUCGUGAAUUUACGUCAGGUGAAAUUUGUGGUUUGAAGUUGUUCUUAGACUAUUUUAGCUACCUUAUCAAGGAUUAAUAUAUAUACUAUGUGUUCUAUUCAAACACUAAAGUCAAAAUUAGUCUAGAGCUAGAAUUAUCAUCAAAUUGAUUUUAUUUAAUUUAUUUCGUGUUUUUGUUAUUUUCAAUGUUCUGUUCGUUAUUUUUAUCAUAUUACGAUUUCCUUGCUAUUGUUUAAACCCUAAUUUUAUUUUUCAUGCAGCAUUAUGAAAUUUUGGGCACAACUUUACCCUCACACCAUUGGUCACAAAGUAUAGCGAAUUUAAUUUACCAAGUCUUCAUGGAAUUCAAGCCUACUAGUCUAUCUACAGUUUUAAAUCUAUUUUUAGGUGUAGGAUAUUUAAAUUGGUGGAUUUGGCACCCAUCAGUUAAUGAAAUCUCAUAAAUUGUUCAUAUCGAUGUACAUGGCCUAAUGAACAAUACUGUGCAAUGAAGAUAUGCAUAAUAUAUAACCUUUACAAAUAAUUAUUCUAAAUAUGAAAAUGUCUACCUAAUGCAUCUCAAGAUUGAAGCUUUCGAGAAAUUUCAAGAAUUUUAUAUAGAAAUGGAGAAAUAAUUAGGUUUAUCCAUUAAGAAAAUUCAGUCUAGUCAAAGUGGAGAACAUUUGUCUAAUGAGUUCUCAGGACACCUCAUUCAGAAUGGGAUUUUAUUCAAAUUAUCUACACCUAGAAAUCAACAAAAUAAUGGUGUAGUAGUGGGAAGGAACGAAAUCUUGUUAGACAUGGUUCGUUAAAUAUUAUGUUAUUCAUAACUAUUAAUGUCAUUUUUAGGAUAUGCAUUAUAAUACAUUCUGAAUGAUGUACUAAACUUUAGCAACACCUUAAACUCCAUAUAAUAGGUGGCAUGGCAAGAAGCCCUGCCUAAACUUUUUUAGGAUAUAGGGAUGCUUUAGAUAGGUGCAAGACAUUCGAAGUGAAUAAAAGGCGGGUUAUUUUAUAACCCCAAAGGACCAAAUGGUCAACAUGUCAACUUUUGUGAUGUUCCUAAAGGAAAGUUACAUGAAUGAAUUUAAACAUUAAAGUAAACUAAUACUCAAGGAGUUUUUUGGAAAUAGAGCAAAAUCCCAAGCUUCUAUCUUGGAUCCCACUCCUAGUGAAAGACAUGCAAACAAUCAAUACUAUAAGGAGCCUUUGUAACACCCCUUACUCGAGUCCAACGUCGGGACGGAUAUAAGGCAUUACUGGACUAAAACGUAAAUAUACACACAGAACCGAGCCAUAAAAUUUCUUUUGAAUAAAAAUUGUACACACACAUGCAACUCUUUCGUAUUAUGGGCCUACAAGGCCCAAAGCAUACAUCGGGGGGUGGUUUGGGACCAUACAGUGAACUUUAGAAAAAAUUUCAUAAAGCAGGGUCACACGCCCGUGUGGGCACCGGGACACGCCCGUGUCUCUAGACUGUGUAACUCUCUGUUUAUAACGCCAACAUCAAUUAAGGAUCACAUGGCCAAGUCACACGCCCGUGUGCCAGGCCGUAUAGCAAAUUUAAUUUUCGCAAUUAAGGUGCAGACUUCCCACGACCAGGGCACACGCCUAUGUCCUGCGGCCGUGUCCUCCAAACGACUGAGACACACGGCCGUGUCUCUGCCCGUAUGUUUACUAUCAUGCAUACUGACUUGAAAAACUAGGGUGCAGGAGACACGCGACAAGGCGACACGCUCAUGGGGCCAAACGUGUGUCACACACGACCUAGACACAUACCCGUGUGUCUGCUCGUAUGGACAACUUUGAGGUUAUUUUCCAAGCCCUCUUGUCACCCAUAACAACCUCUACUCACACUCUUAUGUCAAAGGUGAUUAUUGUUGGAUAAAGGGGUUACUUAGACAUCCAUAGCUUUAACUCGUGCACGACAAUUUCAUAUCACGUAUACCUAAUUGAGACUCCAUGACUUGUUAAGUUCAUUCAAUCCAUUUCUUUACCUUUAUCACUAAGGUGACCAUGCCAAUUGACAUCAUUUAUCCAUCAAGCAUAAAUUCCAUAUUUUGUUAACCAUUAUUUACAACCAAUUUGGCACACACCACAAGGGUAUAACACAUCUCAUGCAUGUAUCAAUAUUUAGGGAUUUCAACCCAAUAAUCAAUAUGAGCCAUAUUUCAUUGCCAUAUACAAAAUGGAAUAAUAUACCAAAAUGAACCAUCGCUUUUGCUAACAAAUAUGACACAUAUAACAAAAUAAUAAGCCCCCUAUACAUGCCAUACUUAAAUGUAAUAAACUAAUUAUACCCCAAAAGAUUUGUUGAUAGUGUGACUCGAGCUCUAACGUUCACGAUCCCCGAGCCAGCUUGACGAUGCUAAAAGAAAAAGGAAAAGAGAGAGAAAGGUAAGCA